rnacentral:rRNA from 1 species
UGCAGUCGAGGGGUAACAGGGAUUGCUUGCAAUCCGCUGACGACCGGCGCACGGGUGCGUAACGCGUAUGCAACCUACCUUCUACAGGGGGAUAGUCAAUAGAAAUGUUGAAUAAUACCCCAUACGAUCAUGAAUUGGCAUCAAUUUAUGAGGAAAGUUCCGGCGGUAGGAGAUGGGCAUGCGUCCUAUUAGUUAGUUGGUAAGGUAACGGCUUACCAAGACAUCGAUAGGUAGGGGUCCUGAGAGGGAGAUCCCCCACACUGGUACUGAGACACGGACCAGACUCCUACGGGAGGCAGCAGUGAGGAAUAUUGGACAAUGGAGGCAACUCUGAUCCAGCCAUGCCGCGUGCAGGAAGACGGCCCUAUGGGUUGUAAACUGCUUUUAUACAGGAAGAAUGGUACCUACGUGUAGGUAUUUGACGGUACUGUACGAAUAAGGAUCGGCUAACUCCGUGCCAGCAGCCGCGGUAAUACGGAGGAUCCAAGCGUUAUCCGGAAUCAUUGGGUUUAAAGGGUCCGUAGGCGGUUUUUUAAGUCAGAGGUGAAAUCCUGCAGCUCAACUGUAGCAUUGCCUUUGAUACUGAAAGACUUGAGUUAUUGUGAAGUAGUUAGAAUGUGUAGUGUAGCGGUGAAAUGCAUAGAUAUUACACAGAAUACCGAUUGCGAAAGCAGAUUACUAAUAAUAUACUGACGCUCA